AAAAAAUAAUCUUUAAUUAAAGGUUUUUUUCUUUUUUUCUUCCUUGGUUUUCACCCUCUUCUCCUAAAGGAUGCCUUAAGAGACUUCCAAUAAUGUUGCCCUAAAGAAAAAAAUACUGAAAAUAUAAGGAGACAUUAAGCCGUCCACAUUAGUUGCUUUAUAACAAAUUUUUAUUCUUUUAAUAAUUUGAUAAAUGUCAAAUAAGUUUCUCAAAUGAAAGAGUUUUCACUUUUUGUUGUUUAUAUAUGAAAAAAAAAGUUUAAUUUUUUUUUAUUGACGUUGCAUUUACUGAUAGGUAUGAUCGAAGUCGGUAGCGCCUAGUUCAGUCAGCAGUAGAACGGAGAACAUGGACAAUAGAAGAAGAAAUGAAGAUCCUGCUGUUACGCUCCUUCAAAAAGAGAUAGAUUCUUCUAGGUUUAUCACCUAGAAGAGAAGCUUUGCAUUUACGCCUUUGUCGCGGCAUCAAUUGAGAUGAAGGCAGUAAGAGAAUGUCGGUACAAUAGUGAUAAAGACCAAGAGGUGUAGUAAAACAUUUACACAGAGAUGAUUUUUUCCGAGUAAUUAAUCAAUAUGGCUCGGACUCGGUACUGAAAAGAAUAGUCACAAGAUUCUUCAAGAUUUCUCAAGUACUAUGGCUUAAAUAUUAAAUCAUGAAAGUGAAACAUCAAGAAAUUUAAUGUCUAUUAUCCUUGACGUCAAACGUGAUAAGGUCGGUAGGUAAUGUGGCGAUAUCAUUGAUAUGACCUCUCCAGCAAUAGAUUGUUGAACAUAUUUUCUUGGACUUGGAAUUGCAUUUGAUUACUUCAGAAAAAUAUAGAAAUAAAUUCCAAAGCACUAUCUUUAUAUAUAAAAGAAGCUUUGUCUCUCUCCCGUGAAGUCACGUCGGAUGACAGGGUGGAAAUAGGAGCUCUAUGGUGUAGACACGUCGGAUCCUCACCGUUUCAUUAAACCUUCGCAGUGGGCUUCGUUACACGCUUCUUCUGCGGCCCAUAACCCCACAAGUAUGUACGGAACCCUAAUCAAUCGAUACAUUCUCCUUCGUGUUCUUCGUUCGUCUUCGAUCGUCAGAUUCUGUAACGGUGUUUUGUGGUUUAAUCGUCUUUAUUCGUCAUCCCACUACGAAUCUACCUCUUGCCUGUUCGUCUGCUAGAUCGUGAAUAAAUACGCAGCAAUCUAACCGACGCGAAUCGCUCUAUCUACACUUUUGUAAUCUCACACCUCACUCAUUCUCAAAUCUUACCCCUCACCUCUCUCAAUGGUUAUGACAAAGGUUUUUUUUCCGAUCUCAAGGCUGGGCGGUGCUCAUUCGUUGUGGAGGCGAGACUGCUUCGAUUCUGGGAGGCUAAGAACGUUAAGCGUGGUGGAGAGCUGAUGUGGAUGGAUCUGCUCAUGGUCGAUGUUAACGUGAGUUAUUCAUUCUGAUUUCUUUUGUAUAUCAGUCGUUAUGAGUUAUUUUUUAUUCAUCAUAUUGUUCUUAUUUUUAUGAGCUCUAGGCUGUUUAUGCUUCUUGGUAUUGUUUCCUGUAGACCUAAACACGUUUAUCUAAUCUUUUUUUUUUUAAUUUUAAUUUUCCCUUUUCUUCUUUGUUAUAUGUGAGCCAUAUCGUGAUUAUUAAUAUUGAUUUGGUAUGGCAUUGAUCCUGUUGUUUAGCAUAGGUUUUGGUUUCCUGUUAAAAGAUAGUACUGAUAAUCCGUUUGAAUUCACACCGUUUGUUAGAACUGAUAGAUUCUUAACUGCGUUUCACAUGGGCUCGACGGAUGAUCUAGGUUAAAGCUAUGUCACAUCAGGGAAGCACGGUGUAAGCUUUUCACUAACCUUUCUUCGUAUGAUUGUGUUCUAAUUUGAUUGUUCUAUGGUUAUGAGUUUUAGUCGAGUUCAUCUUUUAUAGGAGUCUCCAUAGCCGUUUCCUCUGCUUCCAGAGAUUUGUGUACAGAAAGCUGAAGCUGGAUGGGCUCAUUAUGUGGCAGUAACAGAGAGCCAUGAAGUUUAUACGUGGGGAUGGAAGGAAUGUAUACCCACAGGAAGAGUGUUUGGACAAGUAGAAGGAUAUUCGUGUGAAAUGAACAUCUCCUUCUCUGCAGAGCAAGUGUUAAGAGAGAGAAAGUGAUGAAGACAAAUCGUGAUACCACUAUGAACAGUUCAAAAGUGAUCGUUCAGGUUCACUGACUCGGUAGAGACAACAAGUGAAAAUUUUGGAGAUGAUGACCACAUCUCUCGCGGCGGCGCGAGAUGCAGCGGAGGUUCCGGUUUGGUUAAGGCAUGUGCUUCUUCCUAGGCUGGAGAGAGGUGAUGAAUCAGAAUAUGAACAGCCAAUUGUCACCUGACUUUGUAGGUAUUACAAUUUUCCAAUAUCUGUGAUUGUAUUAUAAUUUUUCUGGAUUCGUAGUUCACUAAACAACUUACUGUUGCUGGCUUUGUGGUACUAGCGCUUUGUCAAUGCUCUUGAUGAAUAAUCUAAUGCUACCCUUCCAGAUCUAAAACAGAAGGCUUUUAAGGUGUAUAUUUACCACUCUGCAUCUCUAGCCUCUUAAAGGCACUGGUUUUAUGAGUUUCUUAUAGUUAUAAACAUUUGAUUGGUAGCAAUUAGAUACCGUUAUUUGAAUGAUGCAUGAUUUCAUAUUAGAUGUCUCAGUUAUCUAAUAGCUACGAUUUGUUUUAUUUUUUGGUUAACAAGAACAUGAUCUUAGUAUUUGUUGUUGUUUUUAUUUGGUGUUAGACAAGCAAAUCAUAACAGUGGAUGAUUGAAGCAACUUGACACGAACAGGUAAGUAAUCAACGUUGAUAACCACAACAAUUGUUCUUUCUUUAUGAUAUUGAUGGUUCUUUCUUUUAUCAGUGGUCCAGGAAGCUCCACUAUUCUAUUAGACCAUCGUCUAUACACAAUGGUGAAGACUAAAGGGUUUAGCUUGGAUUUGUGUGGCUGUAAGUCCUUAUUUGUUCAAAGCGCAAACACAACUCACAUGUUUGAGCCUGAUACUAAUUUGGCUGUCGUCUUUACUUCUCUCUCAGGUUCAUUGGUUAAUGAAGCUAAAAGGAAUCUUUUUGGUAGUAGUUUUGAUGUCUCAGACUCGGGUUUGACCUUUGAGAUGAAUGCUCCUUCUCAAAGGACUCGAGUAGGAAGAGCAGUAAAACCAACUCAGAAGUUCCAAGAAAUGUAAUGGACCAUGGUUAGAUGGACCCCUGGUGAGAAAGCUCCUUACCACCUUUAUAGGAAAUUCUACAUAAUUCUCAUAUAUUUGUUAUCUAGCAAUUGUAAACUUUGGGUUCUUUCAAAUUUAAUACAUCUGGUUCUUCGUUUCCUCUUUUCAUAAUUCUUUUUGUUUGUUGUAUAUAGUUGAGUUUUCUUUCUUUUCAUUAGACCACAUAAUCAAGUAAAGCACCACGAAUAAAAACACCAUCUUUAUUUUUUUUGUA